CGAUGAACCACAUUCGGUGGGGAUUAGUGGCGAACGGGUGAGUAACACGUGGGCAAUCUGCCCUGCACUCUGGGACAAGCCCUGGAAACGGGGUCUAAUACCGGAUACGAGUCUCACGGGCAUCCGUGAGGCUGGAAAGCUCCGGCGGUGCAGGAUGAGCCCGCGGCCUAUCAGCUUGUUGGUGAGGUAACGGCUCACCAAGGCGACGACGGGUAGCCGGCCUGAGAGGGCGACCGGCCACACUGGGACUGAGACACGGCCCAGACUCCUACGGGAGGCAGCAGUGGGGAAUAUUGCACAAUGGGCGCAAGCCUGAUGCAGCGACGCCGCGUGAGGGAUGACGGCCUUCGGGUUGUAAACCUCUUUCAGCAGGGAAGAAGCGCAAGUGACGGUACCUGCAGAAGAAGCGCCGGCUAACUACGUGCCAGCAGCCGCGGUAAUACGUAGGGCGCGAGCGUUGUCCGGAAUUAUUGGGCGUAAAGAGCUCGUAGGCGGCUUGUCGCGUCGGUUGUGAAAGCCCGGGGCUUAACUCCGGGUCUGCAGUCGAUACGGGCAGGCUAGAGUUCGGUAGGGGAGAUCGGAAUUCCUGGUGUAGCGGUGAAAUGCGCAGAUAUCAGGAGGAACACCGGUGGCGAAGGCGGAUCUCUGGGCCGAUACUGACGCUGAGGAGCGAAAGCGUGGGGAGCGAACAGGAUUAGAUACCCUGGUAGUCCACGCCGUAAACGGUGGGCACUAGGUGUGGGCGACAUUCCACGUCGUCCGUGCCGCAGCUAACGCAUUAAGUGCCCCGCCUGGGGAGUAC
rnacentral:rRNA from 1 species